UGGGGAAUAUUGGACAAUGGGCGCAAGCCUGAUCCAGCCAUGCCGCGUGAGUGAUGAAGGCCCUAGGGUUGUAAAGCUCUUUCACCGGUGAAGAUAAUGACGGUAACCGGAGAAGAAGCCCCGGCUAACUUCGUGCCAGCAGCCGCGGUAAUACGAAGGGGGCUAGCGUUGUUCGGAUUUACUGGGCGUAAAGCGCACGUAGGCGGACUUUUAAGUCAGGGGUGAAAUCCCGGGGCUCAACCCCGGAACUGCCUUUGAUACUGGAAGUCUUGAGUAUGGUAGAGGUGAGUGGAAUUCCGAGUGUAGAGGUGAAAUCCGUAGAUAUUCGGAGGAACACCAGUGGCGAAGGCGGCUCACUGGACCAUUACUGACGCUGAGGUGCGAAAGCGUGGGGAGCAAACAGG
rnacentral:rRNA from 2 species